rnacentral:rRNA from 1 species
UACGUAGGGGGCUAGCGUUGUCCGGAAUCAUUGGGCGUAAAAGCGCGUGUAGGCGGUUCGGUAAGUCCGCUGUGAAAAGUCGGGGGGCUCAACCCCUCGAAAAGCCCGGUGGAUACUGUCGGACUAGAGUGCGGAAGAGGCGAGUGGAAUUCCUGGUGUAGCGGUGAAAAUGCGCAGAUAUCAGGAGGAACACCAAUUGCGAAGGCAGCUCGCUGGGACGUUACUGACGCUGAGACGCGAAAGCGUGGGGAGCAAACAGG